GACGAACGCUGGCGGCGUCCUUAACACAUGCAAGUCGAACGGAAAGGCCCUGCUUUUGUGGGGUGCUCGAGUGGCGAACGGGUGAGUAACACGUGAGUAACCUGCCCUUGACUUUGGGAUAACUUCAGGAAACUGGGGCUAAUACCGGAUAGGAGCUCCUGCUGCAUGGUGGGGGUUGGAAAGUUUCGGCGGUUGGGGAUGGACUCGCGGCUUAUCAGCUUGUUGGUGGGGUAGUGGCUUACCAAGGCUUUGACGGGUAGCCGGCCUGAGAGGGUGACCGGCCACAUUGGGCCUGCGAUACGGCCCAGACUCCUACGGGAGGCAGCAGUGGGGAAUAUUGCACAAUGGGCGGAAGCCUGAUGCAGCAACGCCGCGUGCGGGAUGACGGCCUUCGGGUUGUAAACCGCUUUCGCCUGUGACGAAGCGUGAGUGACGGUAAUGGGUAAAGAAGCACCGGCUAACUACGUG
rnacentral:rRNA from 1 species